rnacentral:rRNA from 1 species
UACGUAGGGUGCAAGCGUUGUCCGGAAUUAUUGGGCGUAAAGAGCUCGUAGGCGGUCUGUCGCGUCGGAUGUGAAAACCCAGGGCUCAACCCCGGGCCUGCAGCCGAUACGGGCAGACUAGAGUUCGGCAGGGGAGACUGGAAUUCCUGGUGUAGCGGUGAAAUGCGCAGAUAUCAGGAGGAACACCAGUGGCGAAGGCGACACGCUGGGCCGUACCUGACGCUAAAGCGCGACAGCAUGGGGAGCAAACGGG